rnacentral:rRNA from 1 species
UACGUAGGCAGCAAGCGUUGUUCGGAUUCACUGGGCGUAAAGGGUGCGUAGGCGGUCGGGUAAGUCUGAUGUGAAAUCUCACAGCUUAACUGUGAAACUGCAUUGGAUACUAUCCGGCUAGAGGAAUGGAGGGGAGACUGGAAUACUUGGUGUAGCAGUGAAAUGCGUAGAUAUCAAGUGGAACACCAGUGGCGAAGGCGAUCAUCUGGGGUUGUUCUGACACUGAGGAGCGAAAGCUAGGGGAGCAAACGGG